rnacentral:rRNA from 1 species
AGGACGAACGCUGGCGGCGUGCUUAACACAUGCAAGUCGAGCGGAAAGGCCUUUCGGGGUACUCGAGCGGCGAACGGGUGAGUAACACGUGAGUAAUCUGCCCAUCGCUUCAGGAUAGCCAUCGGAAACGGUGAUUAAUACUGGAUAUGACAUUCCUUCGCAUGUUGGGUGUGGAAAGUUUUUUCGGCGGUGGAUGUGCUCGCGGCCUAUCAGUCUUGUUGGUGGGUAAUGGCCUACCAAGGCUUUGACGGGUAGCCGGCCUGAGAGGGUCGACGGCCACGACGUGGACUGAGCACGGCCAGACUCCGUACGGAGCAGCAGUAGGGAUAUGGACAGUGGGCGAAGCCGUGACUCCAGCUAACGGCCGACGGUGAGGAGUACGGACCGGU